AACUCAAAGGAAUUGACGGGGGCCCGCACAAGCGGCGGAGCAUGCGGAUUAAUUCGAUGCAACGCGAAGAACCUUACCAAGGCUUGACAUAUGCGAGAACGCGGCAGAGAUGUCGUUCUCUUUGGACACUCGCAUACAGGUGGUGCAUGGUUGUCGUCAGCUCGUGUCGUGAGAUGUUGGGUUAAGUCCCGCAACGAGCGCAACCCUCGUUCUAUGUUGCCAGCACGUGAUGGUGGGGACUCAUAGGAGACUGCCGGGGUCAACUCGGAGGAAGGUGGGGAUGACGUCAAAUCAUCAUGCCCCUUAUGUCUUGGGCUUCACGCAUGCUACAAUGGCCGGUACAAAGGGCUGCGAUACCGCGAGGUGGAGCGAAUCCCAAAAAACCGGUCUCAGUUCGGAUUGGGGUCUGCAACUCGACCCCAUGAAGUCGGAGUCGCUAGUAAUCGCAGAUCAGCAACGCUGCGGUGAAUACGUUCCCGGGCCUUGUACACACCGCCCGUCAAGUCACGAAAGUCGGUAACACCCGAAGCCGGUGGCCCAACUCUUUGAGAGGGAGCCGUCGAAGGUGGGACUGGCGAUUGGGACUAAGUCGUAACAAGGUAGCCGUACCGGAAGGUGCGGCUGGAUCACCUCCUUUCUA
rnacentral:rRNA from 1 species